UACGUAGGGUGCAAGCGUUAAUCGGAAUUACUGGGCGUAAAGCGUGCGCAGGCGGUUAUGCAAGACAGAGGUGAAAUCCCCGGGCUCAACCUGGGAACUGCCUUUGUGACUGCAUAGCUAGAGUACGGUAGAGGGGGAUGGAAUUCCGCGUGUAGCAGUGAAAUGCGUAGAUAUUGGAAAGACCACCGAUGGCGAAGGCACUCUACUGGGCCACUACUGACACUGAGAGACGAAAGCUAGGGGAGCAAAUGGG
rnacentral:rRNA from 1 species